AUUGAACGCUGGCGGCAUGGCUAAAACAUGCAAGUCGAACGGACCCGCAAGGGUUAGUGGCGGAAGGGUGAGUACAAGUAUCGAACGUACCCCGAGGUGGGGGAUAGGCAUGGGAAACUGUGCGUAAUACCCCAUGAUCUCGAGAGAGCAAAGCCGCAAGGCGCCUUGGGAGCGGCGAUAUACCUAUCAGGUAGUUGGCGGGGUAACGACCCACCAAGCCGAAGACGGGUAGCCGGUGUGAGAGCACGGCCGGCCACAUCGAGACUGAGACACUGCUCGGACUCCUACGGGAGGCUGCAGUAACGAAUAUUCCGCAAUGCGCGAAAGCGUGACGGAGCAAUGCCGCGUGCAGGAACGAAGCGG
rnacentral:rRNA from 1 species